AAUAAAUUAAUUUUUCACUUUUUAUCUAUAAUUUUUGACUCUUCGUCUUAUUUAAAAAUUUUUACGAUUGAUGUUUUUGUUUUUAUUAGAUGAUAAAUCAUAAAUAGUACUUUACGUGUGACUAAUUUUUUUUCUAAUUUUCUAAAAAUUUUUUAAAUAAGACGGAUCGUCAAACGUUAGACAUGAAAACUGGAG
rnacentral:pre_miRNA from 1 species